UAGAAGUAGUUAGAUGGGAGGAUUUUGUCCUACGUCCGCAGGCAAGACCACUGAAACCUGACAUAGAGCCUUUAAUUAUUCAUGGUCAUUAGUGCUGGUUGGUACCAAUAAAGACUAUUCGAUUAAGAAAUUUGAGUACACCUAAAGUCAGUUUUUUAAUCUCAGAUACUAAAUUAACUGAUUCUGAACGGUUCAUCAACAGUCGAUUGUCCCGCGAUUAAGUGACGUAUCGUUCUAUUUGAGGAAGAAACAUAUUUGCUUACGCAUACAGGACUUAGCAAUCAAUUAUUAAAUAAUUACAAAUAAAAUCAUUAUUUCAUUUCCAAGUCCUAUAUUUUUAAACAAAUGUUUCUUUAUCUCAGAACAUAGUAUUAUUAUUAAUUAUGUAUAGGUAUAACUAACUACAAUCUAUGUCAGACUUCAGUUACCCUGCACGUUCCUUCCGGGUGGUGCUAAAGGACUUAUAAAAUUAAAUAUGUAAUGUGUUUUCGUGUUAAAAAAAAUAGUACCUAUUGCCAGUACUUUAUAUAUCUCAUAUGAAGUUAAUACUUUUCAGAAAGCUGAUUCUCAAAUACGCGUCGAAAAACAAAAACCAGUUGGGCUAAAUCUUCAAAGAACCAAAAUUAAGAAAACACGAAAUAAUAUUUUUCAGACCAAAGAGUUACUGUAACGCCCCCCACAUCGCAUAGCCGCCAAAAGUGCAUUCCUGCAGCGUGCAUCGCCUCAACCUGAAUGAUGAAGAAUCUUCUAAAACCACGAGCAAUGUAAACUCAUGAAAUAUCACACCUACAACAAGUUAGAAAAGCAUAAUGAAGCACAAUCCAGAAAAAAGUUAAAAUGUCUAAUAAAUAACUAUUUAAUGCUCAAAAAAA